rnacentral:rRNA from 1 species
GGGAAGUACGAGCGCAAGCUUAAAACUCAAAGGAAUAGACGGGGACUCGCACAAGCGGUGGAGCAUGUGGUUCAAUUCGACAGUAAACGAAAAACCUUACCAGGGCUUGACACUCUAACAAAAACCCGCCGAAAGGCAGGUGUGCUCACAAGGCGGUUAGAGCAGGUACUGCAUGGUUGUCGUCAGCUCGUACCUUGAGGUGUUCCGUUAAGUCGGGAAACGAGCGCAACCCCUGUUGCCAGUUACAAGUGUCUGGCGAAACUGCCGGCGUCAGCCGGAGGAAGGAGGGGAUAACGUCAAAUCAGCAUGGUCCUUUGAUGCCCUGGGCCACACACGUGCUACAAUGGAGAGUACAAUGGGUCGCCAACCCGCAAGGGGGAGCUAAUCCCACCAAAACUUUCCUCAGUUCAGAUUGAGGGCUGCAACUCGCCCUCAUGAAGUAGGAAUCGCUAGUAAUCGUGGAUCAGCAUGCCACGGUGAAUACGUUCUCGAGUCUUGUACUCACCGCCCGUCAUACCAAGGGAGCCGGGAAGACCCUAAGGUCGCCUUAGGCGACUCAAGGUCAGCUCGGUAACAAGGGUGAAGUCGUAACAAGGCAUCCCUAGCGGAAGCUGGGGAUGGAUCAUCUCCUUU